rnacentral:lncRNA from 1 species
CCUUAACCUCAAAUAUUUUAGCUCUUGUGCUAUUUAAAGAUGAUCUUUUUAUGUUUACUUUAAAGAAUUUACUUUGAAGAUGUUAAUUUAGCCAAGAUGGAGCGUUGGUAGUUUGGGGGCUAUGAAGUUUAUGAACAUAAUUGAAAUCAGGAUUCCCUGAGCAAUGUCUCCCAGCAGUUUCCGGUGCCCUUGGUAGACAUUUUCGAACACAGCCCUUUCCAGCCCUUCUCCUUUCUUCCUCAGCCCUCGGUUGGGCAGGCCCUGCUCCAGCAGAGAUUACAUGAAAGGGCAGAGAUGCAGCACUGAGGAAUCCCCUGUCAUCAUUAGGCCAUUUACAGCUGUUGCGUUUAAUAAGGUGCUAAUCCGCAGUGGCGCUCACAUUUGAUGUCGCACGGCCAGAGUCCAUUCCUCCCUGGAAGCCAGCAGGGUCACAGACUGCAGCUGUGCGGGCUCUCUGCUCCAUGCCAGGGAUCUAGGACUCCCUCCUGCACUCACCGGGGCUUCUCCUGCUGCGCAGCAAGGACAGCGAUGUCUGUGCUGGUCGCAGCAGGGUUCCAUCGCAAACCACAUGUCAGAGAGCGCCCAAAGCUAAAGCCAGAAUUACUGUGUCUUUCCUCAUCUGACCUGAGAUUAAAUCAUCUCUGCCCUCCUGGAUUUUUCCAAGAGCAAAAGAAUCCUUCCAGUAAUGGAAACGAUGAGGCUUGUUGGUGGAGAGCUCAUGUUGGUGUGUCUGCAAGGGACAAGCGGAGUGAGCUGUUUCUCCCGACCUCCUGUCCCCUACGGAGACUACUCCAGGGUCAACCCUCGGCCUGCAGCUCGCUGACCUGCCAAGGAGGGGGCAGGGAGGAGCAGAGAUCACAGAAUCUAGAAUCGAAAGCUGCGUGUGAGUUUGGCCUGAGAAAGGAGACAGGAUCAACGUCUUCCCUCUCUCCCCACUAUGAUGGGCUAAGCUGUGUCUGCCGACGUUCACGUGUUGAAGUCCUAACUCUCAGUGUGACUGCAUUUGGACAUGUCGCCUUUAGGGAGAUAAUGAAGGUUAAAUGAGGUCAUCAGGGUGGCUCCUGAUGUGAUAGGACUGGUGUCCUUACGAGAAGAGGAAGAGACUCCAGAGGCCACUCUCUCUCUCUCUGCACACACGGAGGCAAGAUCAGGUGAGGAGAUCUACACGCCAUCUACACGCCAAGGAGAGAGGUCUGAGGAGGAACCACCCUUGAUCUUGGACUUCCAGCCUCUAGAACUGUGAGGAAAUAAACAUCUGCUGCUGAAGCCG